UACGAAGGGUGCAAGCGUUGUUCGGAAUAACUGGGCGUAAAGAGCGCGUAGGCGGGUAUGUAAGUUAUCUGUGAAAGCCCCGGGCUUAACCUGGGAAUUGCAGGUAAAACUGCAUAUCUUGAAUACUGCAGGGGAUGGUGGAAUUGCUGGUGGAGAAGUGAAAUUUAUAGAGAUCAGCAGGAACACCUGAGGCGAAGGCGGCCAUCUGGGCAUGUAUUGACGCUGUGGCGCGAAAGCGUGGGUAGCAAACAGG
rnacentral:rRNA from 1 species